rnacentral:lncRNA from 1 species
UAAAAGGGUGAAGAAAUAAUAAAAUUGUUGAUUUAAAGUUUUCAUAAUUUGGUGCUAUAUUCCUAUGUGAUAAAAAGUAUGCCAAUUAUAAAGUAUCACAUAUCAAAUAAGGUCCCAACACGACCAUAUAUUUAGAGGGAAAAAUCAUGAAAAACAAAUAAUGGGAAACAAGAAAUAUGAAAAUUCAAAAGAGCAAUUGUCCGACUCUUUCACCAGCAUCCUAAAGGGAUAAUUUUCUUGUGGCGGUCUCAGGUAGCACGAGAAUGUGAAACGAUGUUGACUCCACAUAAUAUCAAGGCAUUGUCGAGUCUUAGAGCAGGACUCCUAGCGGUGAUAAAGAGUCUCUUAUGAAGGCUCCAAUUUGCUCCCAAGGUGUACAUAACAAAAGAAAUAAGGAGAUAUGAAUCAGAAGAGAUGAGUUGAUUCUUAACAACCUGCGGAAACUAAAUAAAUAGCAGAAAGAUCAAAUUGCCAUUUGAUUCAUAGCAGCUUGUAAAUUGAAGAUAUUCUUACAUAAUAUCCUACUCGAGUCGUAAAGAUUUAAUCUCAUUAGCUGAUGUCAUAAAUUGACAUAUUAUACUUAUAAACAGUCUAUUUGCACUUUAAAUUAAAAGAACAUAAGGUGGCAGAAGAAACUUACAGAAAUGUUUUCCUACUUUUACAAAUAUAUCUAUUACAACUCUUUAUGAGGAAGACUAAAUUUGUAGUUUAAAUGCAUGAGCAGUCGACCCGUUCGAGCAUAUCACUUUAACAGAACAGAACUCGAUCUUUUGGCAUGAGUUAAUAUUCAAAGCCUAACUUAAAAUUACAUACUUGAGUUUGUAAUAUCCAAGAUAUGAAAAGGACCUAAGUCAUGAUUUCAAAUACUAAUAUCGCUAAUUUCUGGACUUACAUGAACAAAUAACAAUUGACACACAUUAAUUUUUCCUAAAGACGAUAAAAAAGAAGUGAACUAGUGGUAAAGUUAGGCAAGUCAACAUGAACAUCUCUUUAAACACUUUCCAACAGAGCUUCAAUCUAUCACAUACCCAGUAAAUACGUAUUUCAUACUAAAAAUAAGAGAAGGAGCCUAGCACAUGAUUUCUUACUAAACUAAUAUAUAGAGAAUGAUGAUUUGAACCCGAACAGUAGCGAAAAAAUCAACAAAGGCAUGCUGAUAAUUAUUUUAUGACAUCUAAAAUAAGAAACGGAAGAGAAUUAAUAACUAUUUUACAACAGGUACCAAAACAUAAGUACGUUCUAAACUUCAGAAUCAAAAUAAACCAAAAUCAGAAAAUUACUGACCUUGUGGGGGGCAGUGAACAAAGGACUUUGAGGUUUCAGAUCUACUCUUUUGGAUUUUUAAUUGAAGCUUGAGAGAAAGAGAGAGAGUACAAAAAUUAAAAGUAUAAAUAUGAUUUUUUCGACCUUUCAGAAUGUCCCUUCGGCUGAAGGUUUUAGGUGUAUUUAUCGGAAGAAAAGUCUAGGGCUUCAAUUUUUUGACGGGAUUUCCUUUCAGAUUUGAGCAUGGUCAAACAAUUUUGAAAUUUUGAAUGUUUGAGAUUUUGAUUAAAGUUGUUGAUAUUUGAUUCGUCCAAGAAUAGCUAGAAACAGUGAGAUUUGGGAUUGAUUUCCUCUUGAUUUUGAUAUGCCAUCAUUCACGAAAAUAGAAGAAAGAGGAGGUCUAGGGAACGACUGAAAAUAUGUACAAAGCUUGCACUAAAAUGGAGUAACAAACACUGCUAAUGGUGAUGGAGGUUUGGGUUAUUGUCCAAGAGGGGAAAUGGGAGAGAGGCGGCUAGGAGAAAUGUGAUUAGGAACCCUAGAGUGAGUUUGUGUUUUAGGGACUAAGGGGGUCUAACAAAUUUGGGUUUGCUUGGGCUAGUCUGAA